rnacentral:RNase_P_RNA from 1 species
UGAGUAGCACAGAUGGUCGCGCCUAUAACAGUGGAAACACUAUAGGUGAGGAAAGUCCGAGCUUCAUAGGGCAGAGUGCCGGAUAACGUCCGGUGGAGGCGACUCCAAGGCUAGUGCAACAGAAAUAUACCGCUAAGGUAAGUAACUAUUGCUUACACAACUUAGUAAGGGUGGAAAGGUGGCUUAAGAGACCACCGUUCGUAUGGUAACAUACGAAGCCAUGUAAACCCCACUCGAAGCAAGACCGCAUAAAAAGCUAUACGGUUGCCCGCCGUGCUUUUAGGUAGGUCGCUUGAGCUAGGUGGUAACACCUAGACCAGAUAGAUGACCAUUUAAUACAGAACUCGGCUUAUAGUGCUGCUCAUUAU